GGGGGAUAUUGCGCAAUGGGGGCAACCCUGACGCAGCAACGCCGCGUGAAGGAUGAAGGUUUUCGGAUUGUAAACUUCUUUUAUUAAGGACGAAAAAUGACGGUACUUAAUGAAUAAGCUCCGGCUAACUACGUGCCAGCAGCCGCGGUAAUACGUAGGGAGCAAGCGUUGUCCGGAUUUACUGGGUGUAAAGGGUGCGUAGGCGGCUUUGCAAGUCAGAUGUGAAAUCUAUGGGCUCAACCCAUAAACUGCAUUUGAAACUGUAGAGCUUGAGUGAAGUAGAGGCAGGCGGAAUUCCCCGUGUAGCGGUGAAAUGCGUAGAGAUGGGGAGGAACACCAGUGGCGAAGGCGGCCUGCUGGGCUUUAACUGACGCUGAGGCACGAAAGCGUGGGUAGCAAACAGGAUUAGAUACCCUGGUAGUCCACGCUGUAAACGAUGAUUACUAGGUGUGGGGGGUCUGACCCCUUCCGUGCCGGAGUUAACACAAUAAGUAAUCCACCUGGGGAGUACGGCCGCAAGGUUGAAACUCAAAGGAAUUGACGGGGGCCCGCACAAGCAGUGGAGUAUGUGGUUUAAUUCGAAGCAACGCGAAGAACCUUACCAGGUCUUGACAUCCAGCUAACGAAGUAGAGAUACAUUAGGUGCCCUUCGGGGAAAGUUGAGACAGGUGGUGCAUGGUUGUCGUCAGCUCGUGUCGUGAGAUGUUGGGUUAAGUCCCGCAACGAGCGCAACCCUUGCUAUUAGUUGCUACGCAAGAGCACUCUAAUAGGACUGCCGUUGACAAAACGGAGGAAGGUGGGGACGACGUCAAAUCAUCAUGCCCCUUAUGACCUGGGCUACACACGUACUACAAUGGAUGUUAACAGAGGGAAGCAAGACAGCGAUGUGGAGCAAACCCCUAAAAACAUUCUCAGUUCAGAUUGCAGGCUGCAACCCGCCUGCAUGAAGAUGGAAUUGCUAGUAAUCGCGGAUCAGCAUGCCGCGGUGAAUACGUUCCCG
rnacentral:rRNA from 1 species